GAAAUUAUAACCAUAAAACUAAAAUAUAUAACAAUUUGAAAUUUAGAUGUUAUUUUAUUUUGACAAUUGUUAAGGCCUAAUUUGUAAUAAGAUUGUUUUCUUUUUUUUUAAUUUGAUUUAAUUUUGAAGUACUUCAGGUACACUGGAACUUUGACCGGAUGUAGGGUAAUUUAAUUUUUUUUUCAGGAAGACAUUAUUAACACCAAAACAUAUCUCGUAAUCCAUUAUUUUUUUGAAUUUGGUCAACUUCACAAAAUAGCCAACUCUCUAAUCUGUAGUCAUUUUUUGUUUAUUUGAUAGCAUAAAACGUACUUUUUGAAGCCCAAUCCAAUUUCAAAAUAGAAUUAAACCAUUAAAAAAUUCUUAUGGACUCCAAAUUUUCUGUUGGGUCUCCCAAAAAUAAUUUAGUAAUCUUUAUCAGAUCGUUGAACAAGAGCAAGCCCGAGGUGAUUGUAUUGAAGUCGCUCAAGACACCCCCUAGUGCCAGUGAUUUGGAAGGGUUAGAUCAGCAAAGUCAAGAAGUAAAUAAGAUUGAAGAUAUAAAUGUUCCCAGCGAUAUAAAUACAAGUCCCGAAGGACCAAGCCAGCUGAAGCUGUCGAAGUUCCCAGUACGUGAUCCCAAGUCAGAAAAACUAAGAGUUUCAAUAUAUCAUUGUAUCAACAAUUCCCGUGGCUCGAGUAUGAUAUUGAAAAAGAUGCCGUUUUUUGUUACUGUUGGUCAUAAUUUUCUUCAAAAACGUGCACCUCAUCUGGUGCUUUGACAUUCACUCAAACAGGAUACUUUAGCUGGGGAAAUUCUCUCGACAGUAGUAAAGGAUUUCAUCAGCAUUAAAUAUCUGACCUUCAUAAAAGCAGUUAUACCAGGUGGAUAGAGUUGAAAAAGAUACAA
rnacentral:lncRNA from 1 species